UCUUCUUUGCUUUUAUAGGUGGAAAAUGAAAAAUUCUGAAUUGUGAAUGUGUUCAAUGAAUGCUAAAAGCAGACUCCAAAAAUGAUAUCUCCUGCCUUCCUUCAUACUUCCUUGAAAGCUGGGAACAACUGAUGGGUAAUGAUGAAUAACAAUAAUUAUUAAAAUGAAAGUAAAAUGUUUUAGGACAUAGGAAAAAUACGAUCACCAACAUCCAAUAAGGUAUUGUGGAUACACUGUCCUUAGAUACAGUGAGUCUCAGUGGACCUUCUGGUAACUGCAAGAUAGAGCUACACUCCAACACCCCUGAAGGAUGCAAAGAUUUUGCUGGCUGCUUUCUAUUGUGAUUGUGGAGCUUUGUUCCCAAGGAGAAAAUUUAGCUUUUAAUGUGUAAUAAAAAUCAUACACAAGAAUCUU